CCCGGUACAGAUUUAAUUGUGGCAAGACUGGCUAAGCGUGCCUGUUAAAUCUAGACCAACAUUUCAAAAGGGCGGAAGAGCCAAUAUGUAAACAAAACUUCUUAUUCCAUGUGUCGACAGAGCAGUUCAAAAUGACUGUUUACACGUGAUAAUUAUAUUGAAACUUGUUUUGCCCUCCUUACAAUGGAAGUUUUACACCCAAAACGCGAGCCGUAUGAUUUACAUGCGAAUAAGCAUGAUUCUAAUGAGAAUAAGCGAUAUUGGUCCGGGACAAGAAAGCAUUAAAUGGUGAUGACACCACAGAAACUUACAAAAACACACAGUUGGUAAUGUGUUAGUGAAUUUAACGAUCUCGGAGUAUUAGUAUUGAAAUGACUCCGCACUAAUGCACGUGUAAAGGGCAUCUCCGCUCGUGAUAUGUUUGUCUAUUAAAACAGCCCCCAAGGAUGAAACCUAAAAAAUAAUGUUACACCCCUAUCACAGUUUCGGCGUCAUUUCACCGCACUUUUUUGCCCGUCGAACUGUCAAAACUGGAAUUUCAUCCUGGAUAUAAGCUGUUGAUGUGCACAGAUUGUUAUUACGCCGCCAUUCAGUUUUCUUUAAUAGUCUGAUUAAAUAAUCGAGAAUGACAGAUCAGAUAAUGUCGCAGAUUGUCGUUGAUUUGUCUAAUGCGGUGAAUUAUAUUGAUGGCACGGAGUUCACUCUUAGUGCAUACAGAUUAAUAAACGAUAAUGCUCAAAUCAAAAUUCUUCCAACGGUAGAAUAUGCUGUUGAUUCCGCCCAUUUAGAAAGUGGUAUCAGGUCUGAAGUGGUAUCCUGUUAUCACGCUUCCAAAUUUUGUUCGUCGACAAGAUCUUUCCGUUCGAACCGGAGUGGUCGGAAUUUUGGAUGUGGAACACAAGAUCCUAUUGCCGAUUGAUUUGAAUUGCCCGGUAUCUGGCGAUCGCCAUGGAAAUUGUCACGUAAUGGGAAACCAACACGACAAAGAAAAUUCAGUAUUUGAUAUGAAACACACGGUUAACGAAUUAAGCGUGGAAUACGACGAUGAGGACUACGAGCCGCAGGGAGAUGCGACAUAGAUGAAUGACUUUUCAAUCUAUGAAUAUUUCGAACCGUACCGUAAUCAAUCCGUCGUCGAUGAAGAUCAUUUGAAUGAUGCUGCAAGUGAUGAAAAUAAACAUGAUAAAAUGGGCUUCGCUGAACUAGAUCGUGAUCAUACAAUUCCUGUAAACUCAACGAAGAAAUUAAAUAACAAGAAACUUAAGGAACAGGGUUCGGAAUAUAUUAAAAAAAUGGCACGAAAGCACCAGCCCGAAAGCUACGAGAAUCUUGCAGCUGCUCUAAGCGUAAAUGUAAUGAAAAAUACAGCGAAGAGCUCAGAUCAAAGCUAUUGAAAAAUUUGCUGGAACUGAAAGUCUCAGGACAGGAUCAAUUUCUGAGCAGUCACGUUGCGGUUACGUUCCGGUGACGCCUUCGAGAGAUGAAGCGUACAGUUCAAGAUUUUUGGAAACGGUGGGGCCGCGACUAUAUCAGCCACCUGCACCAACGACCCAAGUGGCAAGACGAAUCGAUAAUUCCCUUGAAAGAAGGCGUGCUAGUUUUGCUCAAACAAGACAACUUGCCGUCCCUCCAAUGGAAUUUAGGACGGAUCGUGGAAAUCGCUCCCGGAAGCGAUGGUCGAGUCAGAGUCGUCAAGGUGAGGACGGCAAGAGUGUUAUUCACGCGAGCAAUAACCGAAGUGUGCAUACUUCCAAUCGACGUUGCAAGGAGAAUCUCGAAACCAGCGCGGCGGAGCAGAGGAUCAGGCAAAAGGUUUCUCCAGUACCAAACUGCUGAAAUCCGAAGCAACUAAAACCAACUCAAGGAAAAAUGUUGAAACUAAUCGUUCAAUAGAGGGCGGUGUUAAUUAAUUAAUAUAUUGAAAAUGAAUUUCGUUACAAUUUGUUAUCACCUAGCAGUAGGGUUACUACGCCUAUAAAAUGAAUUCUAUUUAUACAUUAACUAAUACCAAGAGAAUAAAUAAAUAUGCAUGAACUUCCGGAUUAGGUUAUAGGAUAGUGAACUCUGAACGUAUAAAAUAGUGAACUCUAACACACUCAAUCAGUAGCAAUUAAGAUCUCGAUCAAAUAGAACGUGUUUUUCAUA